ensembl:lncRNA
CCACCCAAUAGAGCAUUACAAUAUUCUAACCUUGAGGUCAUAAACGCAUGGAUUAACAUUUCUGCAUUUGGCACUGAAGUCGUUUGUGUUUAUUGUAUGGUUAAAAAUUGGCAGGAUUUUAUGUGGGCUUCAGAGAAUCAUCACACCUUAAUUGUGUACUCAUAAUAUCAGGGUAUGGUUUAGGUUUAGUGGGGUUUAGAUUGGGUAAUGUUAUCAAAAGAAAGGUUAUCACAAGAUUUUUAGAUCAUAUGAGAAAAUGUAAAUGAAUUGAAUGAUGCAAAAUUGUGUAUAUUUGUGCAUAUGCAGGGAAAACUGGAAGGUUUCUUCGUGCCAUUUGCUCCACUGGUGUGACAUUUCUGGCAUUGCAGUGUGGAAUGCAAAUCACAUUCACAUAUAUUCCCAAGGAUGAGAUUGAGCCAUGGGACAGAAUUUUCUUUCACCUUGGCAUUGUCAGGUUUAGUGAUGUGGACACACUUAACAUAAUACGUCUACUAAUGCCAGAUUUUGCUGUCAUCCUGUCUACACUGUUCAUCCUUCAUUGGUGUAAAGCCAAGAAGCCACAUACUAGUGAAAACUGCAGGCACCUCUACAACAGUGAGGUAAUGAGCAACCCUCUACGGACACCUUGGCAAUUGAAUCGCCAUUGGGUAGUAAAUUUUUUAGUUUACUCGCCAGACUGAUAUACUAUAUAUAUAUAUAUAUGCAUACACAUACUGUAUAAUACUGUAUAUGUUUUUAAAAUGCCACAGCUUUUUAAAUACCUGAAAGUACAUACUUAACAUCAGUCAGUCAAGCAUUAUAAUAUGAUAUCCGGAUAAUCAAGUACUAUUUAAUGAUAGAACUUUACUAAUUAUAAUUAAAACUUGGUAACCAUGUAUGAAUGCAUAGACAUUUUAACUGAAUUUAGAACUGGUGGUGGUGCUUUGUUGAUCAUUCAGUGUUUCUGUAAACAAAAAAACAAAAAAAAGAACAAUAAUACUGAUAAGAAGAUAAUAAUAAUAAUAAUAAUCCGAAUUCUACUAAUAACAACAGUAAAACAUGCACAAGAAUAAGAAUGAACAAGCUGCUGGAUUCACGAAUAUUAAUCAGUUUGUGUCCAUUCGCUGGAACUGAUUUGCUGAAAUCAAAACAAGGGAUGAUAAUAAGUGAGCACCAGCCAAUGGCUGGUUUGCACAUUAGUUCCGCCCACUACCAGAAAACCCGGCAGUUCUUAAAAACUGAAAAAAAUCCAAAGGAUCUCCGUUAUUUUGACAAAUACAAACAAACAAAUGUAUUUGAAAAUACAACAAUGAAUAUCGUUUACAUGUAACGCGUCAACUCUGCAUGAUCUGUAAAACUCGCUCGCUCUCUCGCUCUCUCUCUUUCUCUCUCUCUCUCUCUCUCACUUCGCGCAUGUGAGAGAAAGCGUCGCGAGGUGUGCGCCUUCACACUAGAGUCUGGUACGCCAAAAACACAAACACAGGUAGGCUGUGCAUCCAUUGAGAUGAACUGAAAAAUAUCACAGAUCGCUUGACGAAGUGAGAAACUCUGAAGCGCUCAGAGUGUUCGGCAAGUAAAAAUAUAUCUGUGUUAAACUUAUGCUUAGCCUCAAACUCACACACUGGCGAGUAAAAUCUGAGAAUUUAUUAGCCAUUGGCUAAUAUUAGACAUCAUUUAGUCGCCAGAGUAAAGAUUUAGUCC